rnacentral:rRNA from 1 species
UUGGAGGGCAAGUCUGGUGCCAGCAGCCGCGGUAAUUCCAGCUCCAAUAGCGUAUAUUAAAGUUGUUGCAGUUAAAAAGCUCGUAGUUGAAUUUCGGGGUUAGUAGAUUGGUCAUGCCUCUGGUAUGUACUGGUUUCACUGAUUCCUCCUUCCUGAUGAUCCGUAAUGCCAUUAAUUUGGUGUUGCGGGGAAUUUGGACUGUUACUUUGAAAAAAUUAGAGUGUUUAAAGCAAGCUAACGCUUGAACACAUUAGCAUGGAAUAAUGAAAUAGGACGUUCGAUCCUAUUUCGUUGGUUUCUAGGAUUGACGUAAUGAUUAAUAGGGAUAGUUGGGGGCAUUAGUAUUUAAUUGUCAGAGGUGAAAUUCUUGGAUUUAUUGAAGACUAACUACUGCGAAAGCAUUUGCCAAGGAUGUUUUCAUUAAUCAAGAACGAAAGUUAGGGGAUCGAAGACGAUCAGAUACCGUCGUAGUCUUAACCAUAAACUAUGCCGACUAGGGAUCGGAUGAUGUUAAUUUUUUAAUGACUCAUUCGGCGCCUUACGGGAAACCAAAGUGUUUGGGUUC